UGGGCUUGCCGACUUGCUUCUAAGCAACAGAACACAACAAUACACCUGACCUUUGUGUAACUUCAGAGGUGAGGUCAUAAAAGGCUGUGCAGAACCCACUCAAUGCUACGAGAAGCCCAAGCCCUGUGGAGAGACCAUGGAAGUGGCUUGGGUCAAUAGUCCCAGCAGAGCUGAGCCUUCAAGUCUUCCUAGCCCAGGCACCAGAGAUGGGAGAGAGGAACUCUCCAGGCUCUUGAAGUCCUAAGAGGACCUGGACUGGCAUUCUCCAAGGAACCUGCACCUCUUUUCCAAAGGACCCAGGAACAGAGGACAGCACAGCUGGCAGCUGAGGCCCUGCUGGACUCCUGAGCUGCCCCUCAGGCAUUGUCAUCAGUGUUGCUCACCCAUCAGGGCCAACAGAUGGCUCCAGAUCGCAGCAAAUCCUGGUCAUCUCUCUGCCAUCGGGAGGCAGCAUCGAGCAACCCCGUGCUGGGGCAUCAGGCAAGACCAGAGCUCAAAUCCAGGCUGCCCACUUCUCACGUGUAAAUGUGGAUAGCAGCAGUUUGUCUUACACAAGGCUGAAGUGAGGUCUCCUGUCUUGUCUGCCCAGGGAGAAAAAGUAAACAUAGACAGGUCGUCAGCCAGGGUUCAUCGGGAGGCUGCGGUUUUCCCAGCUGUGGAGUGGCCACCUCCUCCCAGCCUCCCUGAGUCAGCCAUGGACUCCAGCGGGGACACACUGUGGGAAACGUCGUGGGAAAACAGCAAACCCAGGGAGCGAAAGAAAAUAAAGACCAGCAGUGACCCCUCCACUCAGAGAGACCUGUGGACACCAUUUGCGGCGUUUAUCCAGCAGUUUUUUCUUUCUACCGGUGUGUGCAUGUAUGCAUGCCUUUGUGUACAUAGACUUGUGUAUUACAGCGUUGUGCAACAUGGAUAUUCAUUUGACGAUACUGUGAAUGUUUUUCCAUAUCAUUAAAUGUUCUUACAUCACAUAUUUUUCUUUAGCUUUCACAUUGUUGGUGUAUUUUAAUUUACAAAGGUAUAACCUGCAACACCUUUUAUAGCUUGCGAUUCUUUAUUGAGG
rnacentral:lncRNA from 1 species